rnacentral:lncRNA from 1 species
CAUGGAGCGGGUCAUGUCGCGCACGGAUCUGGGUCAAUGCGGCGCCGUUUUGGAGCCACUGAUCAAACUCCAAAUGGCGUCGUUUCGUACAUCACGUAAGGGCCAAAAAUAAAACGCUAAACUGGUAGGCACUGCUUCAUUUUUCAAAACGAAAAGAAAAAAAAUAAAAUAAAAGAAAAAUAAAAUAAAAAAACAAGAACCCAAAUGCUCUCCUCUCUGCGCCGCUUCAACACCGAAAGCCCCCUUCGCC